UACGGAGGGGGCUAGCGUUGUUCGGAAUUACUGGGCGUAAAGCGCGCGUAGGCGGACCUGCAAGUCGGGGGUGAAAGCCCGAGGCUCAACCUCGGAACUGCCUUCGAUACUGCGGGUCUCGAGUCCGGGAGAGGUGAGUGGAAUUCCUAGUGUAGAGGUGAAAUUCGUAGAUAUUCGCAAGAACACCAGUGGCGAAGGCGGCUCACUGGCCCGAUACUG
rnacentral:rRNA from 1 species